GAUGAACGCUGGCGGCGUGCCUAAUACAUGCAAGUCGAGCGAACAGACGAGGAGCUUGCUCCUCUGACGUUAGCGGCGGACGGGUGAGUAACACGUGGAUAACCUACCUAUAAGACUGGGAUAACUUCGGGAAACCGGAGCUAAUACCGGAUAAUAUAUUGAACCGCAUGGUUCAAUAGUGAAAGACGGUUUUGCUGUCACUUAUAGAUGGAUCCGCGCCGCAUUAGCUAGUUGGUAAGGUAACGGCUUACCAAGGCAACGAUGCGUAGCCGACCUGAGAGGGGGAGCGCCCAAUGGGGAAGUGAGACCGGGCCCAGACCCCAAGGGGAGGCCGGAAGAGGGAAUCUGCCGAAAUGGGCGAAAGCGUGACGGAAAAACGGCGGGGGAGUGAUGAAGGUCUUCGGAUCGUAAAACUCUGUUUUUAGGGAAAAAAAAAUGUGAAAGUAACUAUGCACGUUGUGACUGUACCGAAACAAAAAGCCCCGGCAAACUACGG
rnacentral:rRNA from 1 species